rnacentral:lncRNA from 1 species
GAUAUUGCUAAAUAAAUAAGUUUACACAAUAAUUUUGCAAACAUGGGGAAUUUAGGUAAAAUUCUCAGGCUGACAGUUGAGAAUACUCAGGGUACCGGAAAUUAGUUGAGUUUGGGUGCUAACUAGGUCCAGGCUGCUUUUGCUUUUGCUCUGAGGGUCUCAUCUGAGCUGAAUGGAUUUGAACCUGGUUUUGUUCCCACUGGCAAUUCUUUGGAGAGAAGAACAUCACCGAUUGCUAGGAAAGACCUCCUAGUGAUAGCAAAGUCCUUUAGCUGGUUUUGAGGACUUUGUGAGUCUUCUUUGGGUCAUCUCUGGUCUGGAAGGGAUCCUGACUAUCUCCAAAAGUUUCCUGGUUCCUUACUAUAGAUAUUAUCAACUCAACUGCUAAUGAAUUGGUCUCAAUUCCUCCACUCUGCCCCAGAUACAAACCUAUAAACUUGGGCCAUGCAGGUAUAAUGGAUGCUACCUAUAUUCCAUAGCUCUAUGAUGACAAAAAUAUAACAAACCCUUCAGUUGAGAUCUGUUUGCAUUAUGUGCCUUGGCAUACUGUUCAGUAAAAAUGAAAAAGAAGAGAGACACUUUCUGGCCAGCAAAGUGAGAUUCAAAACAUGUCCCUUGGCUCAUCAUGAAGGAAAAUAAAGUGACACCAAGAAGCAGUUAAUAUGGGCCAAGCAGCAAGUCUGGCAUACAACAUGGCAGCAUCAGGACCCUCAGCAGGAGUUGCAGGCAUCUGAGGCUGAUCACGAGCACCAUAUCAGGCUUCCAACCUGUCCCAGUCACUCCUGUGCUAGGGGAGGCAGCUUCUGCUUUGAUUAAUAUCCCAUCAAAUGUUCUGUCCUUGUAAGAUUUCAUUCCACUACCAUAAGGUCAAAGAAGUACUUCCCUUCCAUCUAUAAACUUUAAUGUCUAUCCAUAGAUUAUUAGUGGCCUAUGGAUUUCAGGUAUUCUUUCAUUGAAUCACAGGGAGUCAAAUCCCUUUUGAUUUAGCAGGUGGACUGUAAAAUGAAAAAUGAUAUGCCCCCAAAAUGACAAAUAAAGAGGAUAUAAUUUACA